rnacentral:sRNA from 1 species
CUGCUGCUCCUGCUCCUGCUGCUCCUGGCAUGUCAGAGAGUGAUUAAUCUUCAUCGUCCACUUGAUUGAAUUAAGAAAUCCUCGACUGAGGCACAUCUCUGGAUAUGCACUCCCAUGUCCGGAUUUGUAUGUGGGUGCUUGGGAUCCAGACUCAGUUCCUUGUGCUUGCCAGAUGGGCGGAAUCUAAAGAGAAGCAACACGCCAGACGAUGUAGAGGCGACUUCACCUUGUGGAAUCAUGCCGGCUCCCCAGAUAUCUUAAUGGUGGCAGACACUUGUUGCCUCUUUUGAAGCACCUAUGUACAGGGUGUGAGGCACUGACCCAGACUCUGAAGAUGCAAGGCCAAGGACAGAGUGCAUUCCUCGUGAAAGCACACAGCGUGGGGUAAUGAGCGACACCCAAGGGGCAGCUUGGGUGGCUUUGACAGGUGGAUAUGUUGGCCUGGGAAUGCUGGAGCUCCCUGGGCGUGGUAAGAGGACAGUGUUUCAGUGAACUGGAGCCUUGGAGGAGAGGGCUCUGGAGACCAAACAGAGGGCUGGCUCUUGUGUUCCAGUGAUAUUUCCCCAAACUCGAGCAGUGGAAAUACCAUUCCUCCACCCAGUAUUACUCACUGCGUGGGCUAUGUUUGCUCAAGCAUUGGCAUGCCAGGACACCAGAGAAUCAAAGAGAAGCAGCCAGAGUGAUUAAUUUCUCUUAUUUCUACAAGAAGAAUAAUUAUCCUAAGCAAACCACCUGGACCAACAUGAAUACAUAAUCACGGCGUGUUUGAGAGGGAUCACGGAGAAGGAGCUCAGGCCUGCCUUUGUUUCUGGAUUUCAAAUUCCUGAGUUUGAAGAUGGUAACACCAAACCUGACAGAAACCUGUUUCUGGAAGAACUUUCCUCUCGCAGACUAUUCAAAGAUGGUGCUUUGAAUUGAGCCCUCAAGUCAAGGCUGAUGGACAAGCUCACUAAAUAAAACAGGAAGAGAAGCCACCCCAACAGACAUACAAAUAUCAACACAGAAACAGAAGAGGCAUGAAAAGUCAGUGCAGCAGGCUUCCUCUAAGCAAAGUAUUCCAAGGUCUGGUUUUAAACAUAAUUGAUGACCCCAAAAAGAAUUCCAAUGAACAAGUGAAAAAGGCAAAGGUGUUAGUUCAAGACCUGGAAUAGCAAUUCAGCAACAUGACUGAGAAAGUCCACAAGGAAAUUAAGUUUGUAAAAACAAACAGAAAAAAAAAAAAACAAACCUCAAGGAAUCAAAGAAAAAAAAACCAUUCAAAUAACACACAAGCAAUAGCAGAGGCUGAAGACUUAAUCAAGGUCAAGAUAAAAAUAGAUAAGAAAUAAAUAAACACAGACAUGAGUAUCACAAUCUCUAGGACCUGACCAAGAAAACGAACCUAGGGAUCCAUGUGGAGAAGAUACAAACUAAAAGCAUAGAAAAUCUAUUUCAUGAAAUGUAGCUGAACGUUUCCGGACGCUAGAGAAAUCUUAGAUAUCUUAGUUUCUUUUCCAAUUUCUUUGAUAAAAUACCUCCAACAAAAGCAACUCACAGGAGACAGUUUCCAUCACUGAGGAGUCAAUGAUGGGAAGCCAAGGCAGUAGAAGUUUGGAGAACCUGGUCACACUGAAGCUACAGGCAGCAAGAAGAGAGAAACGAAUGAAAGCCUUCUGCUUGUACUCCAUACAUUUUCUCUAUCAUCCAAGAUAUUGUGUUUUAUAAUACAGUUCAAGUUCCUCUGCUUAGAAAAUGGUGUGGUUCACAUUGAGAGCAUCUUUCCCUUCCACCUCAAUUAACUUAAUCGAGACAAUCCCCCACAGACAUGCUCAGAGGCUAACACUAAUCUAGGUAAUCCCUUACAGCUGUGCCCAGAGGCUUGCCUCCAGGUGAGUGUAGACAUUGUGAAGUUGGCAAUUAAAACUCACCCUCACAAUAUUCAAGGACAGGAAACGGUUAGAGCUCCCAAUUGACACGACAAGGAAAGAACCUCUCCUUGUCACAUUAAAUAAAAUGCUAAGGCUAAGAACAAAAGAGGAAUAUUAAAAGCUUCGGAAGAAAACUGCCAACACGUUCAUGAAUGCAAAUUCAUCAGAAUAAGAUGAACUUCUCAGCAGAAAACCUAGUUGCCAGGAAAAAAAAAAUCAUGGAAUAAUAAAACCCAAGCCCUGAAAGGAAAUAACUGUCAAUCAAAACAUAAAGAAAAGUAUUUUUUUAAUCAGUGCAUGAAUGAAGACCUCUUACAAUAAGCACAAUCUAAAUCAAUUCAUCACCACCAAGUCAGAACUGCAUAAGAUACUUAAAGGAAUUCUAGUCAUAGAAGAAAGAUGUCUACAAGGACUAGAGUUCAGGAAAGAAAAAAAACUGCAUGAGAGGGAGAGAUAUGAACACCAAACAAUAACAAAAAAAUGAUUACAUGUAGCCAAAGCAGUAACUAGCAAACCCCUAAAGCGAAUAAGGGAGAAAGAACAGAACAAACUGUAUUGGAUCAAACCAAGAGCACAUUGAACAAAAUUCACCUACCGCCUCUUAAUAAUAUCCCUAAAUAUAAGUGGUCUUAAUUUUUAAUUAUAAGAUGCAGACUAGGAGCUAGAGAGAUAGCUCAGUACUUAAAAGUCCUCUCUGCUCUCACAGAGAAACCAAGUUCAGCUCCCGACAGCCAGUUCAGCCAGUUCAGCCAGUUCAGUCAGUUCACAACUCCAGCUCCAGGAAGAUUUGAUAUCUCUGACCUCUUUAGGUGCCUGCACAAUUUGCAAAUAGCCACAUAUUCACACAUUUUUAAAAAUAAAUGUUUUUUAAAGGUUGGUUGUAAUAAAAUAACCAUCUAAUUGGUUUGAUUAAAAUACAACAUCCAGCUAAUCCCUAAAAGAAGUGUACCUCCAUAUCAAGGAUACACACAGGAGACUGAAAGGGAAAGAAUGAAAACUGAUGUGUCAGUUAAGUGAGAUACAAAACCCAGCAAGACAUUCUCUAACUAUGUCUGCCAAAUGACCUGCAUACAAAAAUUAGCCAGAAGUAAUGAUCAUAACACACUAGCAAAAUGGGUCAAUUAAUCAUGAAGAUAUAAUGACUGUAUAUAUAUAUAUAUAUAUAUAUAUAUAUAUAUAUAUAUAUAUAUAAUUUCAUUUAAAACCAAAUACAAAGAAACCUCACUACUGGAAACACAGGUGUCUAGAAGCCCAAGUUCAGUAAUAGUGAGUGACUUUGAUACCCACUCUCACAAACAAGAGAAAUCAUCCAGGCAGAAACGUCAAUUAGGAAACACCGAAUGUAGAAAUCAUCACACAUCAAAUAUACUCCAUAUGCAUCUAAAAAUACCUCAUCCAAACAUUGUAGUACACAGUUUUCUUGCAAUACAGGACCUUGUGACAAAGGAUUAACAUUAUAGGUCACAAAGCAAGUAAAUAAUAAAAUAGCGUCUUAUAUCUUAUCAAACUGGAAAACAACA